rnacentral:misc_RNA from 1 species
GGCCGAUCAUGAUGCUUGGAGAGAACUUGCUGAAAUCUACGUCUCCCAACAAAUGUAUAAGCAAGCGGCUUUUUGUUACGAGGAGCUAAUAUUGUGUCAACCAACAGUUCCUCUCUACCAUCUAGCUUAUGCAGAGGUUCUUUAUACUAUGGGAGGUUUAGAAAAUCUUCAGACAGCCAAGAAGUACUAUGCAUCCGCCAUCAAUUUGACGGGAGGCAAAAACACCAGAGCUCUGUAUGGUGUUUGCUUGUGUAGUUCUGCCAUUGGACAGCUGACGAAGGGUCGGAACAAGGACGAGAAAGACGGCUCUGAGUUGCAAUCUCUAGCCGCUGAGGCUCUAGUGAAG